AUCUAACAAUAAUAAAAGGAGAAUAAGCUCAAUGGAGAAGCUGUCCACGUGUGUAAAAAAAAUCAUCCAAUCAUUAUGUGACAUGUCAGCCAAAACUACACACUCAUCUCAACUACGGGAAACCUUUUUGUCUUCUCCACGAGUCCUUGCAACCUUUUUGUCUUCUCCACGAGUCCUUGCAAAAAUGGUUACAUCUUCCAAAAAUUCUUCGUCUGUUUGGCUUAAUUCCAGGGAAAUAUUAAAUAACUCAUUUAUUCAUUCAUUUUCUUUGGAGCGUCACUUUCUCUCCCUUGGAUAAAUCAUUCUACAUCCAAUCUCCAAGAUCCAGAUUUCUCUUCAGAUGUCGUAACCAGACCUCGACCUCUGGAAGUUUUCUCUUUGCAGUGGCCAGACCCUUAAGUGCAGUGCAGAUGCAGCACACGGCGGGCGACUAUUAUCCCUUAUCGGCAAAAAGCUUUAUCUCCAUGUAUGUAUUAUAAAGAGUAGAGGAACGAUAAACCCAGAAUUUUAUUGCACUGACAUAUGUUGUUGAAGGGAAACGUCUGAAAGGUGCAGUGGAUAGAGCUAAAAAGAGUUCUCAAGACAAAGAAUACUUAAUUAUAUGUUUCAGCAAUUUUGUAAACGGCAAAUUCAAAGAUCCCUUUGAAACUACAUGACCAGAGAUAUGAGAAUAUACAAAGAUAAAGUCGAAAUUUCAUCUGGAGCUGCUGUAGUUGCAACAAUUAGCUUGGCUAAAAGGGCCUGCAUUCGCAGGGAAACUCAUCAUCAUCACGUCAGAUGAAUUGAAACAAAGAGGAUUUGAUAUACCAAUGCUAUCUGAAUUGAUGGAGCUGGAGGCUAUGAAAUCGAGUUCUCAGCUAAACCAUAUGGUGCUUCCUCGGUUCUUAAAUUGAAACAUGAAUUAGGGAAGACGGUUUUGGAUCUGGUGAAGAAUAUUAUGGAUCCAGAUUGGACUGUGAAAUUGAAUGGUCAUGUACUCAUGUUCAGUUCUCCUCAAAUAGUAAUGCUGAGUUGAAUGAUCUUCUUUCGAUUACUUCUGAGUUCAAUUUGACAAAAUAUUCAGCAAAAUGGAGGCAGCUCUCACCGCUUAUCUCGCAUUUUCAGAGGUUUGACAGUAAAGUAUUAACACCUGUAACAGUACUAGCACAUGAGGCUGCCUUCACCAAAUAAACAAAACACAAGCGAAAAGCAAGGAUAGAUAACUCUACAAGGAGAACCUUCUGUCUUUGUUGAUAGGCAGUGAUCAUCAACAGAACCGAACAACAAUACUCUCUAUACAUAGAUCAUGUGGAGCGAUUUCAGAGCUUCUUACUCAGUUUUCGCCGCUGGAACUGGAAUCGAUUUGCUGUUCUCCGUGUACCUCAGAUUUGUCGGCAAAUCUACAACCUUUUCUGACAUCUCUGUUGAAUUGCAGAUUAUGGCUUUGAAGGAAUGAGACACAGAUUAGUCUCUGAGGAAGCAAAAGCCACAACCAAGUACUUUAUUUCCUGAUCUGAAACAUCUUAUAUCCUAUGUAAAUUAUAUGUCUCUUUGAUGACCUGAAGAACAUAUAAAUUUUUUUUGUGUUGUGAGUCAAGAAAAAGAUUACACGAUUUGUAAUGUGGAGUGAUGCAGUAAAUAAUUAUUUGUUUGUUUUACUAUUC